GUACGGGAGGCAGCAGUGGGGAAUAUUGGGCAAUGGGGGAAACCCUGACCCAGCAACGCCGCGUGAGGGAAGAAGGUUUUCGGAUCGUAAACCUCUGUCCUCAGGGACGAAUAAAUGACGGUACCUGAGGAGGAAGCCCCGGCUAACUACGUGCCAGCAGCCGCGGUAAUACGUAGGGGGCAAGCGUUGUCCGGAAUGAUUGGGCGUAAAGGGCGCGUAGGCGGCCUGUUAAGUCUGGAGUGAAAGUCCUGCUUUCAAGGUGGGAAUUGCUUUGGAAACUGGCGGGCUGGAGUGCAGGAGAGGUUAGCGGAAUUCCCGGUGUAGCGGUGAAAUGCGUAGAGAUCGGGAGGAACACCAGUGGCGAAGGCGGCUAACUGGACUGUAACUGACGCUGAAGCGCGAAAGUGUGGGGAGCAAACAGGAUUAGAUACCCGUGUAGUCC
rnacentral:rRNA from 1 species